CAGUGUAAUAUCCCAUAUUUAAGUGUAGGUAAUUAAUUAGUUAAACUUUAAAAAAAAAAGGAAUAAAGGGCAUGUUGGGCCGUAGCCCUUAAUGAAAACAAAAAGUGAGUGGGCCUCAGCCCAAUAGAACGUAAAUAGCAGAGGCUUAGGCUGAACAUAUGUUCUGCCAGCCACUUUAGAAAAGAAAACAAAAAUAGAACCUACACCAUUGAAAAAUAAAAUAACCCUUGGAGGAAAAGUUAGAAAUAGAAGCAGAAGCUUCAUCUGGAUUCAACAUUCCCUUCCGCCUUUCUUCAACUUCAGUUAUCAAUUCAAGAAUCACACACGAAUUGAGCAGUUUGGAUCGAUAAAGAGUCGAGCUUUGGUUAGUUGGCAUCGAGAGAGACCGCAGGUGACGUUGGUGAGGAUUACGGUAACUAGAGAGCACGAGUUGAAAGUUCCUGGUGAGCCCCGCACUUGUCCGCGUGGGCCAAGAUUCUAUUAUCUAUGAUGGUCUUUUCUUUUGAAUUCUUAGAGUUGCUCCAUAGUCAUUUGAUUUAUUCCAUGAGUAUUCUUCAUUCAUUAUAGACUGGUGACUAGUAUUAGGCGU